UAGGGAAUAUUGGACAAUGGGGGAAACCCUGAUCCAGCCAUGCCGCGUGAGUGAUGAAGGCCUUAGGGUUGUAAAGCUCUUUCGGCGGGGAAGAUAAUGACGGUACCCGCAGAAGAAGCCCCGGCUAACUUCGUGCCAGCAGCCGCGGUAAUACGAAGGGGGCUAGCGUUGCUCGGAAUCACUGGGCGUAAAGCGCACGUAGGCGGAUUUCUAAGUCAGGGGUGAAAUCCUGGAGCUCAACUCCAGAUCUGCCUUUGAUACUGGAAAUUUCGAGUUCGGGAGAGGUGAGUGGAACUGCGAGUGUAGAGGUGAAAUUCGUAGAUAUUCGCAAGAACACCAGUGGCGAAGGCGGCUCACUGGCCCGAUACUGACGCUGAGGUGCGAAAGCGUGGGGAGCAAACA
rnacentral:rRNA from 1 species